GAAAUGCGAUACGUAGUGUGAAUUGCAGAAUUCCGUGAAUCAUCGAAUCUUUGAACGCACCUUGCGCUCCUUGGUAUUCCUUGGAGCAUGCCUGUUUGAGUAUCAUGAAAUCUUCAAAGUAAAUCUUUUGUUAACUCAAUUGGUUUCUACUUUGGUAUUGGAGGUCUUUGCAGCUUCACACCUGCUCCUCUUUGUUCAUUAGCUGGAUCUCAGUGUUAUGCUUGGUUCCACUCGGCGUGAUAAGUUAUCUAUCGCUGAGGACACUGUAAAAGGUGGCCAAGGUAAAUGCAGAUGAACCGCUUCUAAUAGUCCAUUGACUUGGACAAUACUUUUAUGAUCUGAUCUCAAAUCAGGUAGGACUACCCGCUGAAGUUAAGC
rnacentral:misc_RNA from 1 species